rnacentral:ncRNA from 1 species
CCGACACACUCUGCAAUGGCCUCCGGUCGGUGUUGAUGCAAUGUGAUCUCUGCCCAGUGCUCUGAAUGUCAACGUGAGGAGAUUCAUCAAAGCGCGAAUAAACGGCGGGAGUAACUAUGACUCUCUUGGUGCCCCUUGUUUACGUACCGCCAUACCAGGUAUGGCACUGCAUAGAUUGUUGGCACUGGGCACGUCAUCGCAUCCUGCGUGCGCCGUGGCCUUGCAGCUGCCGCACAUGGUCGACUUGAAAGAUUGACUAGAACGGUCGUUCAUCUUUAAGGGCAAGGUGCUUCGAUCUAGGGGUGCUGUAUCCAGGUUUUGGGCGAGAGAGUGGCACAAGAGUGCAGACGGUGCUGCCCUGAAGGAGUGCUCACGUGUACCGUCUUCGCAGGUGUGGGUUGGAAAAGGUACACGUCCGAUGAAUGGAAAGAGGUUCAUUGAUUUGGUAAAGACGAGGGCAAAUGCGCUUCCUCACAUGACUAGGACUAAAAGGGGUCGGGACGUCUUGACUCGUCGGGCCGGUUGUGACUCCGCGGAGUCACUGGGACACAUUACGCAAAAUUGCUUCUGCACGCACAGUGCCAGAAUCAAACGACAUGAUAGUUUAGUGCAGUAUGCUCCUGGUCAUCUGAAAGAAAAGGGAUGGGAGGUGCUGGUAGAACCCGAGUGCCACACCGCAACACAGAAAUAUGUGCCAGACCUCGUUAUUGCAGGAGGUAGUCAGAUGACUGUGGUUGAUACACAGGUGGUGGGUACGUAUUCCACCCCAGAUGCCGCACAUGAGCGGAAAGUGCAAACUAUAGUGUUCCAGAGCUUCUGGAUAUUAUUAAAGGGGCCAAUAGUGUUGCACCGGUUGUGACUAGUUUGACUAUCACAUAUAUAUCAAGUGUUUGGUCGCCAAAAAGUGCUGCAGCUCUUACCAAUCUUGGGUUUGGUAGACAGGAUUUUAAGGUAUUGACUAUACUUUGCCUUCGGGGGGGGUCAGGUGCUUUCGUCGGCAUCAGCAGAUGACCUCC